CAGGUCCAGAAUACAGCAUCGUCUGCUACAGGCACUGUGCCGUGCACCAGAUCUCCAUGACUGACUUACCUCGAAGAACUGGAACUUUGUACGUACCUCCCCGUUCCCCCUGCCCCUGGCGGCCGCCGUUCUGCUCUCUGUUCUUUGAGUUUGACCAUUUUAGAUUCUACCCAUAAGGGAGAUCAUAAAGUCCCUCUGUCUGUGUCUGGCUGAUUUCUCUUAGCCUACAGGUCCAUCUAUGUCAAAGCCAUAUUGCCAAGGGUAGGAUUUCCUUUCUCUCUAACAAACGCAUGAACAGAAUGCCAUCCUACGUGUAGGCCACAUUUUUAAUCCGUUGCUCCGUCGACAGACGUUUGGGAUGUCUCCACAUCGUGGCUGUGGGGAUAAGACUCCAAGGCACAGGAGUGUGCAGACGGCUCCCUAGGAUCCCGGUUUCAAAAUAAAAGUAAAAGCCAUAGGGAUACCACUGCCGGUGCUUUUCUGUGUAUCAGCUUUAACUGAUUUUUGCUCUGGGCUGGAUGUGGAAAGACGUUCCUGAGACACAGAACGCAUACUCGAACCCUUGUCUGUUCCUCACCGCCUGCGGACGGAGAAUCAUUUUUACAUUUUUAAUGUGAAAUAUUUUGAAAAAAAAAUUAGAGUAACAUUUCAUGUCAUGGAGAAAGGUACGGAAUUGGAAUUUCAGUGCCCAUCAACCGAGCUUUGUCAGAACACAGCCAGGAUCGUGUGUCCACGCUGCGGGGUCGGAGCGAAGGGGCCCGGGUCACAGAGGACCCUUUACAGAAGGGUUUGUGGACACCCCUGCCCCCACCGCUGUGCAGCCUUAAGGACCGGCCAUGAGGGAGACUUCCGUCAUUACAGUGCGGACGGAAAGAAGCUGCGAUGCGCAUCACGUAUCUAUAAGGUAAGACGGAGAAUUGAGACUAAAGGGAGCUGAGCAUCGUGCAGAGGGGCAGGUGGGAGCCCAGGGGCUGCCCCAGAGGCUGGCGGGAUUUUGCAGGCCGGGCCAGCCCCUCUGCUGCCCCUCUGGUCCCCUCUGGUCAUCAUGGUCACCCUGGCGGCAUCUCUGUUUGAUCUCUGACGGGGAAGGACAUUGAAACCGAGAAAGAUGCAGCGGCCCCCGGGCUUCCAAUAUGUGUGGAGAGCACUUCCUUUAAUCCAGGAGGAAACUGCUGUUUGCACCCGCUUUCCAAAGAGAAGGAAUGACCGGCAUGGAAGAAGCUGCCACAGCUCCCCCCACGGCUGCCGGGGACAGCCGGACACCCGCACUGGGUUUUUCCCACCGUGCGGUGGAAAGGGUCCCGGGGGAGACGGGACAAGAGCGUUGGGGGACAGGGACCCCGUCUGCCUCUGCAUGUUCCCGUCCCCACGGGGUGCUUGACAAUGUGUGAUAUCUCGUUUCUCCCACACUUGGAGCAGAGGCUUUCCAGUCCCCACACGGAAUAUCCAUGUGGAAGCCGCGCAGACACUUCAAUGCCUAGAAUGCGAAGAUCGGCUUUCAGCAAAAUGAAAUACAUCCCUGAAACCAGCGGCUUGCACAUGCUCAAAAUUACUCUCAACCAUACGAAGGGAAAGCCAGGAAGGGUUUUCCCCCCUGGAGUGGAAUCAGGCGUCCAGGAUUCCUUGUCAGCCUCACGUCUGUGUGGGCCUGGAUUUAGGCGGCCCAGUGAGUUAGCGGGGGAGGCGUGAGUCUGCAGGAGAUGCGGGUUCGGCUCGUAGGAAAAUGCGAGCACUCGUGCUGGAUUCAGCGUAACAGAGACGAGACGGACAAAUGAACAUCAGACGGCGCGGCGGCGGUUUGGGGGUGAGUCCGAAGGGAACGUUGGUGUUUAUUUCUUGUUCUUUACACGUGUGUGGUCCCGUUCUGGCGUGGUACUUGGGAUUAUGUCUGGUACAACCGGUCGUGGGACCCUGCGCGUGAAGAGGGUUGGCUCAGAGAGACGGUCAGAAGACCUCUAGGAUGCCCGAGGUUUCGCACACGCCUCCCCUAUGCAGAAACGGUCACGGGCCCCCGUCUGUUUCCAGCCCAGUGGGAACCUCCUCAGAGGGUGGCUUCUAGUUCCUUCACUUAAUUAAAAAAAAAAAAAAAAAACGACAGAACCCUUUCCCCUCCGCAAAUUAGCCCUCGGCUCCUCCCCCUUCGGUUUCCUUCUCUCCUAGUGACAGAUCUGGUGUGCUGACGGCUGGUCAGACUCAGAGACGUCCCUGGACUCCCACCUCCCUACACACAAUCAAACCCCCAUCUCCAGGCCCUUGCUGGGCUACCAUCACGAGUCUUCCCUCCUCUAAGAAUGUCAACGUGGACAGAACGGAGGGCAUCUUCUUUGCCAUGAUGGGCACAACAGGCAACUUUCCAUCAUCCUCCCCCUGGGAUCGUAACACAAAACCGGAAUGGUAUUUCUUCCCCCCGACAACAUUCUCACAGCUCUGUAUUUACGGGAGGGCUUCCUGCAGUCCCCUCUGAGGACAGACCUGAGGACCAGACCAGGAAAUGGCAUUGGGCUCGCCGGGACUGACUCAUCUGGGGCCGGAGAAGGUCGUUCCUGUGCAGUGGGCAGCCUGGACCUCCGUCCCUGCGGAGACCGGGGGAGGCGGGCAUGUGUUAUGGUUGAAGGGACUUUGAUGUGCGCCGUGAGCGGACAGACCUCUUCUUUGAUCCCAAGUAGGUCAACAUGGACACCCCACACUGUGCUGAACGAUGAAUGACUAUUUCUAGACGUGAGUACCCAGGAAGUAACCUCUGGAAGAAGCCAGAACCCCCCAAGUCAAGAAGCCAGUGUCAGAAAGUCCUCACCUUUGCUUUACGUUCCACAUACCGAUGAACGAGACGGACGUAUGGAUGACUGACGCUCACGUUGGGAGAGAAGACCGGGUACAUCUCAGUCCAAACCGGCCAUUGAGAUGUAGACACGGGAGCUCUGCGGAAGGGACAGAAACGCUGCCACAUCAAACGGGCGACUCGUCCCUGACCAACACUGUCUUUCCUGCUGGAGCAGAGUUUGAUCUGGGACCUACCAGUCACUCCUCCCUGCUCUGCCCCUAGCCCCCCCCAUCCCUACCCCACCCCACUCCACCCUCACCCCUACCCACACCCCACCUGACCCCUCCCACCCCGACCCCAGGCUGUACCUCCAGCUCUGGAGUGUUGUCUGUGGACUUGCUCUGGGCGUCGCGGUGUUUUCUUCGCCACGUGCUUUCCUUGUAGCCUCGCCUCUCCUUACACAAGAACCGCCUUUCACAAAUAAGAGGAAAAGCUUCACUCAGAAACUGGCAAAGCUCCUUGGGGGCUUGUGAGGUUCCCUGCCAGAGUCCCAUCAGACAGGGACCGUCAGAGGGAUGUUCUGACAAAGGAUGGGGACCUGCAAACCUGGGGGGUUCUGAUGGUCUGCCCUGCCGGGGGGCUGGGUGCUGGGCAACACCUUGGAAGGGUCUGGAAACACCGAGAGAGGAGAUUGCCCACUGGACCGUUGCUAGACGUGCGCACACAUGUGGUCUUUCCCCACAUAACUCUGCUCUGUCAUGGAGAUCGGAACACGACGAGUCCAAGAAAAAUCCCUUUUCUCUGGCAUCUCUCUGACAUUCCUCACGACCCCCCCCCCCCAAAAGGACAAUGUCCUGUUUCCUCCUUGUCCCUUGACCCCUUCGUGCCUCUGGUGGGCAGUAGGACUGCCCUGAACGGGGGGAGGCCCUCUGUACUCGCUCUCCUGGGUCCAAACACCCGCAAACACCAUCACAGACACCCCCAAAUCAUGUUUGGCCAAGUGUCUGGGCACUCUGUGGCUCAGGCAAGUUGACAGAUAAAAUUUACCAUCACACCUCAACCCCAAUUCCUAGCUCCCGUGGAGAUAUUUUAAUGGAUAAAGUACAGGGUCCCCCCCAAGGGUUAUGACCCUGAGUUGUGUGAGGGGAUGGGCGACAGCUGCCAGCAGUCUAGCAGUGUGAGGUGUGGGUCGGGUGUGUGCGAUGAAUGAAAUAUGUAAUAUCAACAAACAAGCUGACCACAGGCUCUGGCAGUGUUUUCCACACUUACGCACGCAAGCACAUCAAAUGUAAUUUCCCUUUCCAAAUAAGCUGACACACAGGUCUCCACGCAACCCGAACGCACAGAUUUCUCCCUGAAACAGCCUUAGGCUCAUUCUAACAUCUCAGUUAGCCAAGUGGUGACGGGAUUAUUCUUCAGACCAGUUUUCCUUGCUGGGGGUGACUGUCAGAGGGGAAGACAAUUUAGGUGCCGCUCAAAUGUCCGUCCAGCUUCUCAAGAUAGACGCUAGACGUUCCCAAAGAAGGACGGGUCUAGUUCAGGAGGGUGUAGGAUUCAACCCUCCUGCUGGCGAAAGUCACAGCCUGCGUUUAAGAGAGAUUUUUCAUGGAGAAAAACACCUCACGCACACGCGUACACGUACAUGGGCACACCCAUGCCCACAUGUGUGCGUGCGUGCGCACACACACACACACACACACACACACACAGGCAUACCGAGCAACUAAGCAAUGAGAAGCGCAGGAAAAGGUAUGAGUUGAAGAAUGGGUCCCCCCGGGACUUCUAUUCUCAGGCAAUUUUCAUGUCAAUGGGAAAAUAGAAAAUGUGAAUAAAAGCUUGUUUUUGAAACCUGAGGGGAGAUUCUAUCUUUACCCCCGAAUUCCAGUGCAUCCCUGAGAGCUGUCAGUUUCUGCAGGCUUUUUAAGUGAAGCCCCAGCUCAGCUUUCCUUCAGGGUGGGGGGCUGGCUUGCUGUCACAGAGUAGAAUCCUCGCCCCCCCCCCAUCUUGAAAGUUCUAGAAAUCUAUAGCUUUACUAUUUUAUGUUAGAAUUGCUACCAAAAACUCAAACCUUUUUUUUUAGAUAAAAUAAGUCCUUAGUCCCAUUUUGACAAUUUCUUUUCUCGUCACCGUAGCGGAUUGGAAGUACCCCUGGGAUUGUGCUAAUUUAAAUUAAUUCUUUUGUGCAGAGAUGAUAUUGGCUAAGUGCUUCCUUCUCAUCAUUUCAGGGGAUUCUAAAUUUUGCCUCUCCCUGAGCCUCUCUUGGCCACCAGCCGGCUUGGAGGCAGUGACUCGUCCCCCAGGUCCAGGCCACGAGAACGGCCACCUCCAGCCCUCGCUCAGCGCUGGCUCUCAGGAUGCCCCGCACAGACUGUUCUCAUGCAAUGAAAGUUUGUCUUUUGUUUUAUGGCCUGGGAUCAUCUCUGCGCUCUUACGGGGCUCUGUUUGCACCGGUGCCUUUGUAUUUAUUCCCAAGGGCUGCAUCUCAGAAGGGAGGCUCCAGGGGUUGGUGUGGAUGAUUCCUUUUAACUAACGGCUCUCAGGGUGCCCUCUGAUAUUCCAAGUAGAUGCUGCCAAUGAUAAUAAAAUGGAAAUCUGAAAGAAAGCUCAACUUUACAGACAUCAGCCGGACUCACAAACGGACAUUUUAGUAUCAUAUUCAAGUGCGAAAUCGUUCAUUACUUGAAGUAAUUGUUACGAUGUAUUGGUAUGAUUUUCCUUAACGCCAGGGCAAUAGUCCUCCAUGAGACACUGGCCCACUGGGGGUCCAAAGGUGUGGAAAGAGGAGGGCUGCUCUGGGCCCCGUUUCUUCCUGAUUCAGCUCUGAGCACGCUUGGGAUUCCUCCCCUGGGGGGUGUAAGCAAUUGCUUUGCUUAGUUAGAGUGUGUCCCCUUCAUUCCUCCGCAACUCAAUUCAGAUUCUCCACGUGUUGUGAGCUUGGCGGUGGGGGCAUGCGGGAGAUGCCGUUUCAUGGUGAACUGGUCUCGGAAGGAUCCCCUUUGCCAUCAAAUGAAACGCAAGACGGCCACGGAGCGAUAGGGCUGCAUGGCUGGCCUGCUGGCAGAGUUACUUCGGGAAGCUCCACCGUCCUCCCGGGGAUGCUGCUAUCACGAAGGAAGGUCUCUAUUCAGAGACAUCUUCCAGUCGUUUCCAAAGGAAACCCCUUUAUAUGCAGGUCUACUCCCUUUACUGUUGUAAGCAGCAUUGUCCAACUUCAAAACGGACCCCACCUACUGAAGAGGUAUCAAAAUUUUUAUUGUUUCC